CAAUAGCGUAUAUUUAAGUUGUUGCAGUUAAAAAGCUCGUAGUUGGAUUUCGGUUAAGAGCGACCGGUCCGCCGUUUGGUGUGCACUGGUUGGUUUUAACUUCCUGUAGAGGACGUGCUCUGGGUUUAACGACCUGGACUCGGAGUCUACGUGGUUACUUUGAAAAAAUUAGAGUGUUCAAAGCGGGCUUACGCUUGAAUAUUUCAGCAUGGAAUAACACUAUAGGACUCCUGUCCUAUUUCGUUGGUCUCGGGACGGGAGUAAUGAUUAAGAGGAACAGUUGGGGGCAUUCGUAUUUCAUUGUCAGAGGUGAAAUUCUUGGAUUUAUGAAAGACGAACUUCUGCGAAAGCAUUUACCAAGGAUGUUUNCAUUAA
rnacentral:rRNA from 1 species